GAGAUCGAUUUUAUUUUCUUUGUUUGAAAGAAAAUGAAUAUUUGUUUCUGUUCUUGCACAUGCCUUCCUGUGUCUAUACACUCAACAGAGUUACCAUGGAAACGUAUACCUCUACAUCUGGAUAUCUGGACAGUAGUAUAAAUGGAUGACCGAUGUUCCGACAUGCAGUUAUACAGCAGGUUUUGGAUCAUAUAUAGUAUGUAUGUUUACUUUUUCUUUCUUGAGGCAACACUAUGAUUUAUUUGUUUCUGUUUUUAGGUUUACCAUGGAAACGUACAUAUUCAUCUAGGCACUGGUAUAAUAGAUGACGGGCAUUCAGAUAAACAAAGUUAUACAACAGAUUUUAGAUAUUACAGGGUAUGUAUGUGUACUUGGCUUUCUUGUGGAAACACUCUGGUUUUUACAGAUGCCUUUAUGUAUCUAUAGCUCAACAGGGUUACCAAGGAAACUUACAUCUACACCUAGGCAAUGUUAUAAACGGAUGACAGACGUCCAAGUCUACAAGCAGCAGUGAUAGAAAUCCUACAACCGGUCACGUGAAAAACGCUUGGCUUUGAAUAGUCUAAGCCUUGUUAAGACCUGAAAAUAUUCAGGCAAAACACUUUAAUUGAAACAAAAAUGCGCUUUAAAUAUUGAGAACCCAAUCUUCCUUGUUUAUUUUUGUUCAUGAUACUGUAAGUUCAGUGUUUGCUGUUUUGUCAGGGAUAUAUUGGGGUUGUUUGUGGUGGAGAUUUAGUGUUUACGGUGGUGGUGUGUUUGAUGGUGUGUUUGGUGGUGUUUUACGGCUUGUAGUGUGUUUGUGGUGGUGUGUUUGGUGGUGUUUUACUGCUUGUGGUGGUUUUCGUUAAUAUGGUUGUGUUGUUGUGAUGUUUUAGAUCAAUGUGGUGCUUGUGGUGUGUUCAAUGUGGUCUUCUCGGUUGUAUACGAUAUGGUUUGUACUGUGUAGUCAAAAAAGGUUUUCGUUGGUGCGAAUUGUGAGUCGCAUUGGGUUCUUUAACUUUCGUUUCGUCGCGAGGUGUUUUUCGUUCUGCCAUUAGCAAUAUAUUGUUACUAGCGCAUGUGCGAAAAUUUUUUUUAUAAAAAUAAGUAAUAUGGUGUGUUUUGAUAAUGUUACCUAUGAAUUUUAGAUUGCUGCAAAGACAUAUCACUAGACACGCAGACGACAGAUAUAAGGUACAGACGACAUCUUGGUAAAAGCACGCAUUGUUCUGUUUUAUAUCUGUUUUAUUAUUCAUUCUUCUUUUGUAUUGAUGUUUUUCUCUACCAGAAUAUUAGCGUACUUGGAGAAUAAGGACGCAGACGGCUAUAGAGAUGCAGACGGAUAUAGAGAUGCAGACGGUUAUGGAGAUGCAGACGGUUAUAGAGAUGCAGGCGGUUGUAGAGAUGCAGACGGAUAUGGGGAUGCAGAUCAAACAAAGUGUGCGUUUCCUUUCUUUGAACAGGUAUGCAUAUUGCCACUUAUAUUAUCCCAUUUUGCACGAUUUUCUCUGUAGAUUUUUUACAGAAUGACGGCUAAUGUUGACUACAAACACGUGUGAAGAUAUGAUGUUCUAGAUAUCACAAGGUUUAGUGAAAGGUGCCGCUAUGGUAUUUGAUAUUGACUACAAGCACGUGCACGAAUAUCAUGUUGCAGAUUUCACUAUGAUUUAGCAGACGAUGCAGCUGUUGUGGUUGGUGUUGACUAUACAUGCACGUGUAAUGAUGACAUGCUGUAGAUUUCAGAAUGGUUAAGUGGACGAUACAACUUAGUCCUUCUUCUCGGGCGCAAGGAGGUACGUGAUGUGUCUGUAUAAUUAGGUUUUUUUGGCUAUCUUUAUAUUAGGCGUGCAGUUUUCAACCAAGUCAAGCAGAUUUAUUUUCAUUUUAAAUAAGAUUUCUUCAAAUUUGUAUUUUCUGUUUAUCAUGUAGGCCUACAAUGUUUCAGUUAAAAAACAAAACAUUAUUGUUAAUUGUUAAAUAAUGAAUACCAGUUUUCAGUCAGCAAUGCUGUCGGUUUUUCUUCCGAAGUAAUUCAAGAGUUUAGGAAUGCGCAUACAGUUUUUGUCUUUGGUGAAAGUUUAACUCGAAGUAUCAGACGAGAAACUCAAACAAUUCGAUGAGAAACUUAAACUGUCCGAAGAAGAACCCGAAAUAUCCGACGAGAAGCAGUUUCCUGGGCUACACACGUAACAGAAAAUUUUAGUUGAUGGAACUAAAGUUGCUGUAAAACUGCCUUGAUGGUACCAUAAAGAUGCCGACAAACAAGAAUUGCACUGAUACCCUAUCGAUGCCGGUCACCAAACAAACGGUGUAACAUAAUUGAUGCCGAUCAUCAGAAGUGUGCUGGACCCCUUAUAGUAAUCAACGUAUUUUUAACAAGCACUGUCCGAUGAGUAAAAUAGAGUGAUUUUAGUGGAGAUAAAGCCUUGGAGAAUAUAUCGUCUAUGCUUGCCCUGUCGUGUUGAUGGUAGAGAGCUCUUCCACACCUUGUGCUCAAGACAGAAACUCUUUUUAUGGCCGUGGUGACAGACGAAACUUUCAUUCAGGUUUAAAAGCAAGAGCACAGUAUUUGACAUUAUUGAAAGACAUAGAAAAAGAAUGGGUUGUAGAUAACAAAUAUCGCCAUCAUGGGGCUUCCUGUGUUGUUUCCGCCAGCUGACAGUCCCAUGCAUGCCAG
rnacentral:lncRNA from 1 species